UGCGUAGGCGGCGCUGUAAGUCGGGUGUGAAAUCCCUCAGCUUAACUGAGGAAUUGCGCCCGAUACUGUAGUGCUUGAGGGAGAUAGGGGUCAGCGGAACUGAUGGUGGAGCGGUGAAAUGUGUUGAUAUCAUCAGGAACACCGGUGGCGAAAGCGGCUGACUGGAUCUCUUCUGACGCUGAGGCACGAAAGCUAGGGUAGCGAAC
rnacentral:rRNA from 1 species